AUGUACAUUCCUACAACAUAGAGUUAAUGCACUGGAUCCCAUUAAAACUCCACAGUUAAGUGUGCUCAGACUAGAGUAGUACUCAUAUGGGUGAUCUCCCAAGAAGUCCUAGUGUUUUACAUG
rnacentral:rRNA from 1 species